GUAUCCCAAGUUGAAUACAUAGACUUGGUGAAGCGAACCCGGGGAACUGAAACAUCUAAGUACCCGGAGGAAAAGACAUCAACCGAGAUUCCGUUAGUAGUGGCGAGCGAACGCGGACCAGGCCAGUGCCUCAUCUUCAGUUAGCAGAACGACUUGGAAAGGUCGACCAUAGUGGGUGACAGUCCCGUAUGCGAAAACGAUAGAUGAGGACUCGAGUAGGGCGGGACACGUGAAAUCCUGUCUGAACAUGGGGGGACCACCCUCCAAGCCUAAAUACUCGUACAUGACCGAUAGCGAACACAGUACCGUGAGGGAAAGGUGAAAAGCACCCCGAUGAGGGGAGUGAAACAGUACCUGAAACCGGAUGCUUACAAGCAGUUGGAGCCUCUUUAGGGGGUGACAGCGUACCUCUUGCAUAAUGGGUCAGUGACUUAAUGUACCAUGCGAGCUUAAGCCGUUAGGUGUAGGCGCAGCGAAAGCGAGUCUGAAUAGGGCGACUGAGUAUGGUGUAUUAGACCCGAAACCCGGCGAUCUAGGCAUGACCAGGUUGAAGGUGCGGUAACACGCACUGGAGGACCGAACCGUUGAAUGUUGAAAAAUUCUCGGAUGAGUUGUGUUUAGGGGUGAAAGGCCAAUCAAGCCGGGAAAUAGCUGGUUCUCCGCGAAAUCUAUUGAGGUAGAGCGUCGAAUGAUUGCCGUUGGGGGUAGAGCACUGGAUGGAUGCGGGGGUCGCGAGAUCUACCAAUUCUAACCAAACUCCGAAUACCAACGAGACUAGUUCGGCAGACAGACGGCGGGUGCUAAGGUCCGUCGUCAAAAGGGAAACAGCCCUAACCUACAGCUAAGGUCCCCAAGUCAUCACUAAGUGGGAAAGCAUGUGGGAAUCCCAAAACAACCAGGAGGUUGGCUUAGAAGCAGCCAUCCUUUAAAGAAAGCGUAACAGCUCACUGGUCUAAACAAGGGUUCCUGCGGCGAAAAUGUAACGGGGCUAAAGUGAUGCACCGAAGCUUAGGGUUCAGUCUUUGACUGAGCGGUAGCGGAGCGUUCCGUAGGCGAGUGAAGCGGGAGGGUAACCGACCGUGGACGUAUCGGAAGUGCGAAUGCUGACAUGAGUAGCGACAAAGAGGGUGAGAUGCCCUCUCGCCGAAAGACCAAGGGUUCCUGCUUAAAGCUAAUCUGAGCAGGGUGAGCCGGCCCCUAAGACGAGCCCGAAGGGGGUAGUCGAUGGGAACCACGUUAAUAUUCGUGGGCCUGGUGGUGUGUGACGGAUCACUUACAUUGUACAACCUUAUUGGAUUGGUUGUGCUUUCACGUGGUUCCAGGAAAUAGCCCCACCGUAUAGACCGUACCCGAAACCGACACAGGUGGUCAGGUAGAGUAUACCAAGGCGCUUGAGAGAAGUAUCCUGAAGGAACUCGGCAAAUUGCCUCCGUACCUUCGGAAGAAGGAGGCCCCAUAUAUGCGCAAGCACUUGUGGGGGGCACAGGCCAGGGGGUAGCGACUGUUUAGCAAAAACACAGGACUCUGCUAAGUCGGCUUCAAGACGACGUAUAGGGUCUGACGCCUGCCCGGUGCCGGAAGGUUAAGAGGAGGAGUGCAAGCUCCGAAUUGAAGCCCCGGUAAACGGCGGCCGUAACUAUAACGGUCCUAAGGUAGCGAAAUUCCUUGUCGGGUAAGUUCCGACCUGCACGAAUGGCGUAACGACUUCCCCACUGUCUCCAGGAUAUGCUCAGCGAAAUUGAAUUCUCCGUGAAGAUGCGGAGUACCCGCGGUUAGACGGAAAGACCCCGUGCACCUUUACUGCAGCUUCAGAGUGGCAUUAGGAUAGAAUUGUGUAGCAUAGGUGGGAGGCUUUGAAGCACCGGCGCCAGCUGGUGUGGAGCCAUAGGUGAAAUACCACCCUGUUAUGUUCUGAUGUCUAACCCAGGACCGUUAUCCGGUUCGGGGACCCUCUGUGGCGGG
rnacentral:rRNA from 1 species